AUUGAACGCUGGCGGCAUGCCUUACACAUGCAAGUCGAACGGCAGCAUGGGUGCUUGCACCUGAUGGCGAGUGGCGAACGGGUGAGUAAUGCAUCGGAACGUACCCGGAAGUGGGGGAUAACGUAGCGAAAGUUACGCUAAUACCGCAUAUUCUGUGAGCAGGAAAGCGGGGGAUCGCAAGACCUCGCGCUUCCGGAGCGGCCGAUGUCGGAUUAGCUAGUUGGCGGGGUAAAGGCCCACCAAGGCAAUGAUCCGUAGCGGGUCUGAGAGGAUGAUCCGCCACACUGGGACUGAGACACGGCCCAGACUCCUACGGGAGGCAGCAGUGGGGAAUUUUGGACAAUGGGGGCAACCCUGAUCCAGCCAUGCCGCGUGAGUGAAGAAGGCCUUCGGGUUGUAAAGCUCUUUCGGCCGGGAAGAAAUCGCACAGGUUAAUACCUUGUGUGGAUGACGGUACCGGAAUAAGAAGCACCGGCUAACUACGUGCCAGCAGCCGCCGUAAGAC
rnacentral:rRNA from 1 species